rnacentral:rRNA from 1 species
GCGGUGGAGCAUGUGGUUUAAUUCGAAGCAACGCGAAGAACCUUACCAGGUCUUGACAUCCCCUGACAACCCGAGAGAUCGGGCGUUCCCCUUCGGGGGACAGGGUGACAGGUGGUGCAUGGUUGUCGUCAGCUCGUGUCGUGAGAUGUUGGGUUAAGUCCCGCAACGAGCGCAACCCUCGACCUUAGUUGCCAGCAUUCAGUUGGGCACUCUAAGGUGACUGCCGGCUAAAAGUCGGAGGAAGGUGGGGAUGACGUCAAAUCAUCAUGCCCCUUAUGAUCUGGGCUACACACGUGCUACAAUGGGCGGUACAAAGGGUCGCGAACCCGCGAGGGGGAGCCAAUCCCAAAAAGCCGCUCUCAGUUCGGAUUGCAGGCUGCAACUCGCCUGCAUGAAGCCGGAAUCGCUAGUAAUCGCGGAUCAGCAUGCCGCGGUCGAAUACGUUCCCGGGCCUU